rnacentral:rRNA from 1 species
GUAGGUGGCAAGCGUUGUCCGGAAUUAUUGGGCGUAAAGCGCGCGCAGGGCGGUCCUUUAAGUCUGAUGUGAAAGCCCACGGCUCAACCGUGGAGGGUCAUUGGAAACCGGGGGACUUGAGUACAGAAGAGGAAAGCGGAAUUCCAAGUGUAGCGGUGAAAUGCGUAGAGAUUUGGAGGAACACCAGUGGCGAAGGCGGCUUUCUGGUCUGUAACUGACGCUGAGGCGCGAAAGCGUGGGGAGCAAACAGGAUUAGAUACCCUGGUAGUCCACGCCGUAAACGAUGAGUGCUAAGUGUUAGGGGGUUUCCGCCCCUUAGUGCUGCAGCUAACGCAUUAAGCACUCCGCCUGGGGAGUACGGCCGCAAAGGCUG